AGGCUCUGAGCUGUCAGCACAGAGCCCAAUGUGGGGCUCGAACUCAGGAACUGUGAGAUCAUUACCUGAGCUGAAAUCAGACACUAAACUGACUGAGCCACCCAGGCUCCCCAGGGCUGAGGGCUUUUCAAAACUACUUUAAGGAGGAUAGAGUAAAGGUUACUAUAGUAGGUGUUUUAAAAGUAUAUGAAUACAUCCUAUAAUAUAUACACACACGCAACUGAAUAUAUACCACAUUUUCUUUAUACAUUCACUUAUCAAUGGAUGUUUAGGUUGUUCCUGUAUCUUGAGUCCCAUGAAUAAUGCUACAAUGAACAUUCAAAUGCUAAUCUCUCUUCAAUACUCUGAUUUCCGUUAUUUUGGAUAAAUUCCUAGAGGUAAGAUUGCUUUUUCAAAUGGUAGUUCUAUUUUUAGUUUUUGAGGAACCUCCAUACUCUUUUCUCUAGUGGCUGCACCAGUUUGCAUUAUUACCUGCAUGGUGCAAAGGUUUCAAUUUCUCCACAUCCUCACCAGCACUUGUCUUUUGGUCUUUUUGAUAAUAGCCCUCCUGAUAGGCAUGAGAUUAUGUCUCAUUGUGGUUUUGAUUUGCAUUUUCUGGAAAUGAGGCACUACUAAUUAGCAGGCAUGAAGGUUCACUUACACAAGACGAAUAACUUCUAGAGAUCAUCUGUACAACAGUGUACCUAUAGUCAACAAUACUGAAUUUUACACUUAAAACUCUGGAGGGUAGAUCUCGUGUUAAAUGUUCAUACCACCAGUAAAAAGAAAAGUGUAUGAAGAGAUCUAAGUCAUUUUGUAAUUACUUCUAUAGAUCAUGUGUCUUAAGUGGUUCCAUGAAAGUGUUCUUGGCCUGAACCAUGUGCAUCACAGCUUUUAUAAAUGAUGCAUCCAGUCUAUAGGAAGAGAUGAGACAACAUGGACUUAAAGACAUAUGUGAGCCUUGUGUUAGCCACCCGGAAGGACCAGCAGCGGGCAGUGUGGAGAUGAGAACUGAGAUUUGGUCUAUGGAAAUCGCAAAAUUAAGAGAAACAGAUGUGACUCCAAGGCCAAGGGUCCUACAAUUGGAAAGAACACCAAUACCACACUAUGAAAUCAGGCUUUGAGGCCCACAGAAGGCUCAGCCAUUGUGCUGCCAUGCUGACCCUCCCUUCUGAAGGUGAAGAUCUGAUUGUAUUCUACUGCUUACAUAAACUGCCUCUCUAAGGGAUUGUCACUGUCAGUACAUGCUGUGAUACCUUGUGAAGAUGAGAUUUGAUUUCUUCUCAACAAAUAGUCUUUCUUCCUCUCUUCACUGCCAGAUAUGCUGAGAAUUACACUGCUUAGACUUUCUUCCCGUUGACCAGGAUUUCUCAGCCUCAUCAACUUUAUCACCGUUAACAUGUGCACUCAAAUAAUUCUUCUUUUUAUUUGUGGAGGGGGUCUGCCUUGUGAAUUGUAGGAUAUUUAACAGGCUCCCUGGACUCUACUCAGUAGUCCCAAAAAUUCUCAUGCAUCACCCCCCAUUUAUGGAUUGUGAAAGUCAAAACUGUCUAGCUUAGUUCAAUUAAGAAUUCCUGUUAAGAUUCUAGGAUGCCCAUUAAGUUGGCUCAUCAGUCAACUACCCCUUUUUGUGCGUGAGUUUCAGAUUCCUUCUUGAGAAUAUGUAUUAAUGGAAUGGUGAUUGGAGGGAAAGAAAUAAGGAAAAACUCAUGAAUGUGAAGAUGAGGUUUCAGGCAUGAAGACAUUGACUGCUAAGACUUGGAGUGACAAACACUAAUUUCCUCUUUCUUACAUUUUGCCUCUCUUCUUUACAUUCUGACAUUUCCUGUUGAUUCACAUAUAUGUGUCUGUUACCAAAUUAGCAAAAAUAAUACAUUUUUUAAAUGUUUAUUUAUUUAUUUUUGAGAAAGAACAAGAGUGAGCAAGCAGGGGAGGGGCAGAGAGACAGGAAGAGAGAAAAUCCCAAGCAAGCUUCAUGCUGACAGUGUGAAGGCUGACAUGGGACUUGAUCUCAUGAACUGUAAGAUCAUGACCUAAGCCAGGAUCAAGAGUUGGACACUCAACUGACUGAGCCUAAUUUAGCUGCCCCUAAUUUAGCAAAAAGAGUAUUAAGAAGCACUCCUUUAUGCUCUUUGGGGGUGAAUAUCAAAAUAAAACACAGUUCUGGACAUGAA